GAGGACACGGGGUCUCACGGCUGUGCUGUCACUCUGUGCCCCCCCAGGGCUGAUGGUGGCUCCAAAUCGGCCGCGGUGGCACCGGGAGGCGGUGGGUGAGAGCCCCAGGGCUGAGGUGACACGAGGAACCCAUCGGAUCACGGGGAUGGGGGCUGAGCUGCAGCAUGGCGUGUCCCCACUGUGUCCAGUUGUUGUCACCACCACCUCGGGGGUGACACCGGAGCGGGUGAUGGAGGACGGGGUGACACAGGAUGGGGCGUUGGCGUGGGACAACGAGGUGACACAACAGCACAGGGACACCCAGGGGGACAUGGGGGUC